AGCUCUCCUGUGAUCAAGUACAUUAGGCACAACAAUGGCUUCAACGUGACCUGCUCCAUAAGUAAUGUUUUCCCGAUUACCUUCCCACUAUUGACAACCAAAGAAGGGAAUAGAACUGCUUCUAACAACGGUGAUGGAACAUUCAACACAACUGUUACACAUUUCUUUCCAGCUGACGAGAAGGAUACAACCAUACAGUGUCUGUAUUCCAUUUUGAACUUCAGCGGUAUAGCUUCCCUGCAUAUUGUUAACAGUUCUACCAUUGACCAGCCUGAGAAAGAGGAUACGAUGGAAAAGAACAUGACACACACAGACUUCAGAUGCACGCCUUCAGGAUUGUGGAUGGCAUGGAUGAUCCUCGUAAUCGAAGUUCUCGUUUUCAUCGUCCUCGCUUACGCCAUUAAAACUGGACGUGUACUGUUUAAAUCCACUCUGCGUAAAACCAUACGGAACACAAACGACUUACCUCAAGAUGAACACUAUGAUGAAA